UACGUAGGGACCAAGCGUUGUUCGGAUUUACUGGGCGUAAAGGGCGCGUAGGCGGCAAUUCAAGUCAUCUGUGAAAUCUCCGGGCUUAACUCGGAACGGUCAGAUGAUACUGUCUUGCUAGAGUGCAGAAGGGGCAAUCGGAAUUCUUGGUGUAGCGGUGAAAUGCGUAGAUAUCAAGAGGAACACCUGAGAUGAAGACGGGUUGCUGGGCUGACACUGACGCUGAUGCGCGAAAGCCAGGGGAGCAAACGGG
rnacentral:rRNA from 1 species